rnacentral:rRNA from 1 species
GAGUUUGAUCUUGGCUCAGAACGAACGCUGGCGGCAGGCCUAACACAUGCAAGUCGAACGCCCCGCAAGGGGAGUGGCAGACGGGUGAGUAACGCGUGGGAACAUACCCUUUCCUGCGGAAUAGCUCCGGGAAACUGGAAUUAAUACCGCAUACGCCCUACGGGGAAAGAUUUAUCGGGAAGGAUUGGCCCGCGUUGGAUUAGCUAGUUGGUGGGGUAAAGGCCUACCAAGGCGACGAUCCAUAGCUGGUCUGAGAGGAUGAUCAGCCACAUUGGGACUGAGACACGGCCCAAACUCCUACGGGAGGCAGCAGUGGGGAAUAUUGGACAAUGGGCGCAAGCCUGAUCUAGCCAUGCCGCGUGAGUGAUGAAGGCCUUAGGGUUGUAAAGCUCUUUCACCGGAGAAGAUAAUGACGGUAUCCGGAGAAGAAGCCCCGGCUAACUUCGUGCCAG